rnacentral:rRNA from 1 species
GAUGAACGCUGGCGGCGUGCCUAAUACAUGCAAGUCGAGCGAACAGACGAGGAGCUUGCUCCUCUGACGUUAGCGGCGGACGGGUGAGUAACACGUGGAUAACCUACCUAUAAGACUGGGAUAACUUCGGGAAACCGGAGCUAAUACCGGAUAAUAUAUUGAACCGCAUGGUUCAUUAGUGAAAGACGGUUUUGCUGUCACUUAUAGAUGGUUCCGCGCCGCUGUAGCUAGUUGGUAAGUUAACGGCUUACCAAGGCAACGAUGCGGAGCCGACGGGAGGGAGUGAUCGGCCACACGGGAACUGGGGCACGGGCCAUGCUCCUACGGGAGGCCGCAGUAGGGAAUCUGCCGCAACAGGCGAAAGCCUGACGCAGCAACGCCACGUGAGUGAUAAAGGUCCUCGGUGCGUAAAACCCUGUUAUUAGGGAAAAACAAAUGUGUAAGUAACUAUGCACUUCGUGACGGUACCUAAUCAAAAAGCCACGGCUAACUACGUG